CCCCGCGGCGCGGGGUGCCGGGACACCGUCCCGGCUGAGAGCACACCCGUCGAACCUGCCCUAGUUAGCACUAGCGAAGGAACGCCCAUGAGCGCGUAC
rnacentral:ncRNA from 2 species